CACGUACUCCCUCCGUCCGAAAAAACUUGUCAUCAAAAUAAACAAAAAGGAAUGUAUCUAGAAGUAUUACUUCUAGAUACAUUCCUUUUUGUCCAUUUUGAUGACAAGUAUUUUCGGACAGAGGGAGUAUGUA
rfam:Triticum aestivum genome assembly, contig: Triticum_aestivum_CS42_TGACv1_scaffold_320815_4BL